rnacentral:rRNA from 1 species
GAUGAACGCUGGCGGCGUGCCUAAUACAUGCAAGUCGAACGCGAGAGGAGGGAGCUUGCUCCCUCUGAUCGAGUGGCGGACGGGUGAGUAACACGUAGGCAACCUGCCCAUCAGCCGGGGAUAACUCCGGGAAACCGGAGCUAAUACCGGAUGAUAACGAGAAGCGCCUGCUUCUUUUUUGAAAGUCGGUUUCGGCUGACGCUUACAGAUGGGCCCGCGGCGCAUUAGCUAGUUGGUGAGGUAACGGCUCACCAAGGCGACGAUGCGUAGCCGACCUGAGAGGGUGAUCGGCCACACUGGGACUGAGACACGGCCCAGACUCCUACGGGAGGCAGCAGUAGGGAAUCUUCGGCAAUGGACGAAAGUCUGACCGAGCAACGCCGCGUGAGCGAUGAAGGCCUUCGGGUCGUAAAGCUCUGUUGUCAGAGAAGAACAAGUACCGGAGUAACUGCCGGUACCUUGACGGUACCUGACCAGAAAGCCACGGCUAACUACGUGCCAGCCGCCGCAGUAA